rnacentral:rRNA from 1 species
GGAACGUGCCCUUUGCUACGGAAUAGCCCCGGGAAACUGGGAGUAAUACCGUAUGUGCCCUUCGGGGGAAAGAUUUAUCGGCAAAGGAUCGGCCCGCGUUGGAUUAGGUAGUUGGUGGGGUAAUGGCCUACCAAGCCGACGAUCCAUAGCUGGUUUGAGAGGAUGAUCAGCCACACUGGGACUGAGACACGGCCCAGACUCCUACGGGAGGCAGCAGUGGGGAAUCUUAGACAAUGGGGGAAACCCUGAUCUAGCCAUGCCGCGUGAGCGAUGAAGGCCUUAGGGUUGUAAAGCUCUUUCAGGUGGGAAGAUAAUGACGGUACCACCAGAAGAAGCCCCGGCUAACUCCGUGCCAGCAGCCGCGGUAAUACGGAGGGGGCUAGCGUUGUUCGGAAUUACUGGGCGUAAAGCGCACGUAGGCGGAUCAG